CCUACGGGGGGCAGCAGUCGAGAAUCUUUCACAAUGGGGGCAACCCUGAUGGAGCGACGCCGCGUGGAGGAUAAGGUCUUCGGAUUGUAAACUCCUUUCAUUCGAGAACAAGGUUGCAGGGCUAACACCUUUGCAAAUUGAUGGUACCGCAAGAGGAAGAGACGGCUAACUCUGUGCCAGCAGCCGCGUUAAUACAGAGGCGGCAAGCGUUGUUCGAAAUCACUGGUCGGAGGCGGUGUAAGUGUGAUGUGAAAGCCCGGGGCUCAACCUCGGAAUUGCAUCCGAUACUGCCAUGCUGGAGUACUGAAGAGGUGACUAGAAUUCUAGGUGUAGCAGUGAAAUGCGUAGAUAUCUAGAGGAAUACCAACGGCGAAGGCAGGUCACUGGGCAGUUACUGACACUGAGGCACGAAGGCCAGGGGAGCAAACGGGAUUAGAUACCCCAGUAGUC
rnacentral:rRNA from 1 species